CCACGGUGAAUACGUUCCCGGGCCUUGUACACACCGCCCGUCACACCAUGGGAGUGGGUUGCAAAAGAAGUAGGUAGCUUAACCUUCGGGAGGGCGCUUACCACUUUGUGAUUCAUGACUGGGGUGAAGUCGUAACAAGGUAACCGUAGGGGAACCUGCGGUUGGAUCACCUCCUUACCUGAAAGAAGC
rnacentral:rRNA from 1 species